UCGGGGCGGGGCGGGACUCCCUCCGCUCCGCGCCCUGGGGGGACGCUUCCCUCCCCCGCCGCCAUUUGCUGGGCCUCGGCAGCGCGGGAGCCGGCGGCCCCGGGGAUCGCGAACCCCGAGAGACCGUGCCGCGAUGGAAAAUGCAGCGGGAUGCCGCGGUAGCAGAGCACGCCAGUUAGAAACGCUCGCGAAUACCCACUGAACUUUAAGUCCUGGGCCUCGGUUGUUCGGCAACGGCUUAAUUAAAGACACGCUGUCAUCCCGAGAGCCGGUUUGUCUUUAUCGUUCCAGAUAACGAUAUCGUUCCAGCUCCAGAUGCGGCAGCUGCCCCCCGUUUCCCGUGUUUGUGCAGGCGGCGGGUGGCUGAUCCGUGCUGCGCCAAAGCCUCAGCAACAGCAUGGCGAACAGCAAGCCCGAGGGAGGCAGGGAGAAAAACGUGACUGCACAAAGAGGCUGGGGGAGCGCGGAGUAAAAUCCCUCUCUCGGGAAAUGAGUCUGUGGGAGGAUAGAAGCCCUAGGGCAGAGACUGAGGGAAGACUUUCAACACUCCUCGUACUGAGAAAAACCUUAUCUCUAACAUUAAGAAUUUGUCCUGCCUUUUUGACCAGGCAACCCUUAGGUCACUUAGAGAAAGAAAACCUGUAAUGAGCAGAGGAGAGACAAGCAAGAGGGAAAAUGCUUUGUUCACAGAUUUUUUCAUGACAGAAGCAGUUGAACCAGGUCUAAUAUCUCCUCUGGAAUAUGAUGCACAGAAGAAAGGUUGUUUGCUGCUUUUACUCUGAAUGAAAAUAAUCAUGAAUUGCAACAACUUCUCAAACAACAUACAAAUGAGGUUGUCACCUCUGCAAUUUGCGGAACUCACUGUGUGAACAGCUCAUCUGAUAAUACUAGACAACAGGUAACCAAGGUUUUAUCUUAGUCACCAGAGAUCUUGACGUUUAUGAAAAACAGA